UACGUAGGGUGCGAGCGUUGCCCGGAAUUACUGGGCGUAAAGAGCUCGUAGGUGGUUUGUCACGUCGUCUGUGAAAUUCCGGGGCUUAACCUCGGGCGUGCAGGCGAUACGGGCAAUACUUGAGUGCUGUAGGGGAGACUGGAAUUCCUGGUGUAGCGGUGAAAUGCGCAGAUAUCAGGAGGAACACCAAUGGCGAAGGCAGGUCUCUGGGCAGUUACUGACGCUGAGGAGCGAAAGCAUGGGUAGCGAACAGGAUUAGAUA
rnacentral:rRNA from 1 species